rnacentral:rRNA from 1 species
AACGGAGGGUGCUAGCGUUGUUCGGAAUCACUGGGCGUAAAGGGCGCGUAGGCGGCCAGGCCAGUCGGCUCGUGAAAGCCCGGGGCUCAACCCCGGAGGUGCGGCCGGGACUGCUUGGCUGGAGGCCGGAAGAGGAGGGUGGAAUACCCAGUGUAGAGGUGAAAUUCGUAGAUAUUGGGUGGAACACCGGUGGCGAAAGCGGCUCUCUGGUCCGGUCCUGACGCUGAGGCGCGAAAGCGUGGGGAGCAAACAGG